CUGAAGGGAGGGAGGGAAGGAACAGGAGCCCAAGAGCUCAGGACAUUCUACCCUCCCCAGGCAGGGAGCCGAAGCCAGGAGGAGGAAUUAGAGGCACCUUCCCCAUCCUGCUGCCCUUCGUCUCAGGGAACCGGCUGAACUGUUCAACCAUCAUCCAGCCCCCGGGACUGCCAGCCCUAGAUCUUCCUGCUGCUGCUGCUUCCACUGCUAGAGAAAUCGGAAUUUGCUGGGAAAAAAAACCGAACCAAAGCAAACCGAACCAAGAGCUUUUCAUCGCCCGGCCGAGGAAGGAAGGCAUGCUUCGCUGUUUCUGCUCCUCCUGUUUUCAUCCCCGUUAAAAGAUGCACUUUCUGUUGGAUGCUGUCACCGCGCUGAAU
rnacentral:lncRNA from 1 species